CUCACUGGCUCAGAUCAGCUUAAAGUCCUCCAGGACCAGCUGGACUCCAUGAGUGCUGCAGUACUCCAAGGUUAAAAAGGCCAGGAUCUGACUCCUGCUAAGGAUGGGAUUUGUGCCCUCUGGAACAAUCCUGCUUCCACACCAACAAAUCCUAACUGGAGUACGGGACAGCCAUCGCUUGACCCAUCCCAGCGGAUCAAGUUUAAGACUCCCCUCCUGCUGCGUGACCAGAGGCCCCCCUCUUCGAUGGACCGAGAACUACGCUGGCUGACAUGGACCCUCCUCAGCAGAAAGUAGCUUAACACCCCUGCCCCACAUUUGUCUCUCACUUCAGUUAGGAAUGGUAGUUUCCUGCUGAAGGACUACACUUCCCAGCUUCCCUUGCAGACUUCAGAGGUCAUUCCUGCCUCUAUAAGGGGCCCCAACCCAUCUUCCCCUGUAGGCAUUUUAGCCACCUGCACCUGUGAGUGACAAAGAGUCCCUCCAUGUGAAUAAACGUGGUUCUGUCUAAGGUUA